AAAUUUGAGAAAAAGGAGGGCUACAAGGACCGCCAAAAUUUUGGCCCUAUCCUUGCAAGGUCAAUUAAGACUCAGGGCAUAUGAGAACUUGUCCUAUAAC